AAGAAAGAAGCACUAAUUGGUUUGGUGCGGUUGGCUUGAAACCAGCAUAUGAGGGUUCGAUUCCUUCCUUUCUUG
rnacentral:tRNA from 1 species